GGCAGAGAAAGGGUUAAGCAGAGGCUGGCACUAUAUCAUGGGGUGUUGCCCAUAUAUAUGUAGUUCUCCAAUGAUGCAGAAGAGACGUUCUCUUGAGCUCUGAAUCUCCUGCUGAGCCGAGGUUUGUUGAAGGAGGGAGAGCAUGUUACUCUUGUCCAAAGCUACAAUGCUCAGUUACUGCUGUUGAUGAUUACUACUGAAUAUUUUGGCCAGGCAUUGGUGAAAAAUGCAACAGAUGUUAUUCUGAAUAUUCCACAGGGUUGGCACUAGGCAGAACAUGCUAAAAUGCCAUUUGCUUAAACUUUGGUUUUGCAAGACUGGUUAUGUGGAGUGCUACUCUCAGUAUUUUGUGCUGUUUGAUCUGUUUGCAAUGGAUUCCUAUUACUUUUCUUUUUCA